GGAGGGGAGGAGAAAGAAAGAAGUGGCAUGAGGAAGAUCCAGCCCAGCUAGGGGGCCGGUGUGGCGCUGCGGGAACCGCACGGGGGCAGGGAGAGCCUUUCCAUCAGGAAGACCGAGGGCGAGUUGAGCAGAGAUGAUUCACGCCAGGAGAACAGAGGCGACACCAGUGAGGGGGAGUGUGACGGUCGGUGACUCAGUCGUAAAAGGCCGGAAGUGAAGGUGUGCAUGCAUCGACGGGGGCUUGGGACAGAGACAGACAAGAGUCCACAGCCGCGCAAGGAGCCUCGGGUCCCACUGCCCACCCAGGGAGGCGGCUCCAAAGGGAUCCAGAGAGAAGGCGCAUCUUCGGCCCCGAUGGAAAGCUCUUCCCCGGUUUCCCAAGCCCCUCCCAACUGCUGAGGCGAAGGAGAAGGUCCUGGGUGUGGUCACUGGUUUUGCAAACUCUGUUCCUUCGCCGUGGGAGGCUCUCAGCAUCUCCUGCCCCCCCAGCCGUGGUGAACUGUAUUCACCGCUGAGGACAACUCCACUGUCUCCACCCUGGGAGGCCACGCGCACCCGUUUCCCCUGCACGGAGCGCCAGUCAGCUGCCGCGUGCCCCAUCUGUCCUCACAGCCUGCGUGCACACAAACACCACGCAUCCUCGUUCUCGCUGGGCUGGAGUCGCCGUGGGGCGGGUGCUGACUUCAUCGCCAGCCGAGGCCCGGAUGUCUAGCCCGAGACUGUAUAUAAUAGGCCUGCAAGCCUGUGUUAGACGAUGGUACAGAUGAAAUCACGCGUGAUAAAUACGGGCCUGGCAGUGUUUGAAGGGCUCUCCAGCCUCCUGUUAUGGAUUGAAUGAUGUUCCCCAAAAAGAUAUGUUGAAAUCCUAACCCCCCCAGAACCUGUGGAUGUGACCUUAUUUGAUGAAGGGUUGUUGCCAAUGUAAUCAAGAUGAGGUCACUAAUGGGGGGCUCUGAUCCAGUAUGACUGGUGUCAUUAUAGGAAGAGGAAGGAAGUGCC